UACAGAGGGGGCAAGCGUUGUUCGGAAUCACUGGGCUUAAAGGGUGCGUAGGCGGCUCGUUAGGUAGGGUGUGAAAGCCCCCGGCUCAACCGGGGAAUUGCGCCCUAAACCGGCGGGCUGGAGUGAGAUAGGGGUGUGUGGAACUUCCGGUGGAGCGGUGAAAUGUGUUGAUAUCGGAAGGAACGCCGGUGGCGAAAGCGACACACUGGGUCUCAACUGACGCUGAGGCACGAAAGCCAGGGGAGCAAACGGG
rnacentral:rRNA from 1 species